rnacentral:tRNA from 1 species
GGGGUUGUGGUUCAGUGGUAGAAUACUCUCCUAGCGUGUGUAAGGCACUGAGUUCAAUCCUCAGUACCACA